GGCGGUGGAACCGGAAGAAGGUCGAAAGAUUGUAAAGUUCUUUUAUAAGUGAGGAAUAAGCUUUGUAGGAAAUGACAAAGCGAUGACGUUAAUUUAUGAAUAAGCCCCGGCUAAUUACGUGCCAGCAGCCGCGGUAAUACGUAAGGGGCGAGCGUUGUUCGGGAUCAUUGGGCGUAAAGGGUGAGUAGGCGGAUAUGCAAGUCUAUGUGUAAAAUACCACGGCUCAACUGUGGAACUAUGCUGGAAACUGCAUGACUAGAGUCUGAUAGGGGGAGUUAGAAUUCCUGGUGUAAGGGUGGAAUCUGUUGAUAUCAGGAAGAAUACCAGAGGCGAAGGCGAACUUCUAGGUCAAGACUGACGCUGAGUCACGAAAGCGUAGGGAGCAAACAGGAUUAGAUACCCUGGUAGUCUACGCUGUAAACGAUGCACACUUGGUGUUAAUCGAAAGGUUAGUACCGAAGCUAACGUGUUAAGUGUGCCGCCUGGGGAGUAUGUUCGCAAGAAUGAAACUCAAAGGAAUUGACGGGGGCCCGCACAAGCGGUGGAGCAUGUGGUUUAAUUCGAUGAUACGCGAGGAACCUUACCAGGGCUUGACAUAUACAGGAUAUAGUUAGAGAUAACUAUUCCCCGUUUGGGGUCUGUAUACAGGUGCUGCCAUGGUUAA
rnacentral:rRNA from 1 species